CACACAAGGCAAGAAACAACUGCACAUUGAUUUUACUUUAAAUAUGCUAGAUAUGAUUACACAGAUCCUGUAUCACUGUGGUGUUAAUAUACCACUUUGCCUGUGAUUUUUCUUGUAUUUAAAUGGCAUCAAAAUAGAUCAAAUACACACUCUAGGCUAGAUUUUUGGAAGUCUUGCUGCAGAUAGUUUGCAGACACAGUUUUACAGCAGACAAAGAUAUACGAGAUGAAUGAUGCACAUCUGGUGUCCACAAGUGUCAGUGAAGACAAACGAGAGGCUCCUAAACAAUCUGACCACAAUAUAUAUACCACAUCCAUACUCCAUACAACACUGAGUCAGACCAUCAAUCUUCAGUGUCAAAACACAACACCCCAGCUUAAAACAUCAUCCAUCACUGUCUGCUUAAUGUAACUAGCUGGACUUAGCACAACAUUCAGCUGAAAUUCAUUUUAAAUCCUAAUGUGCUUCUUCAUAGGGUUCUUUAGCAUAAAAUCAAGAAAAAACUUGAAAGUUGAACCACUACAAGAGCUCAUCUACUCUUCCAUUACACCUGUUCACACUGGUCCACAGUACUGUUUCCAGUCUCAAAGGGGAAACCAGCCUAAUCAACACAAAAAUGUCAAACAUUCCUAAUCUGCAGAGAUUGACAGGGAAACCUUUAGGGUGGAUGCUCUGGGGCAUAGGGGUCACUCCACUGAGUAGUAAUUAGACUCUGUGAAUGAGGAACUUCCUGUGCUGGCUGAGGCAAGGUUACAAGGUCCAGAGGAAAGUGUCAGAGGGGUCAUAGCUUCCUCUCUGUCAUUUAAACUUCUUAAUGGGCUUGGUAGAGGUCCCUUCCUAUUGCUUAAUGACUGUGACCUGAGAAGUUGGAGAUGUUUUUCUCUGGCACAUACAAAUACAUAGCUAGUGCUGGCCAGAAAAAAUAGUUUGCAUGUGACCAACCCCUAAAGACUUAAUAUAUAUCGUUCUAACAUGCCUUUUCAGAAUAAGUGGUCCUGUAUUUUCCAUAAAUUCUAGUUGCAAGCUCUGACUGAGGCCAAUCCCCAAUAGUUAUGCCAGAUGUCUGUAUCCUGAUACAAAUUCAUUGCAAUGCACAUAAAAGUGGGUUAACUGAUAUCUCUUUAGCAACAUGCACACAUGCAGCUUUGGCUCAUGGAGUCCGUGGGAGAUUUUGUCCACUUGUUUCUGUCAACAAUUCACACUGUGAGAACAUUUUUUGAUGUUAGCCUGGACAGAGGGAGGCAGAAAUAACAGGUACUACGACACAGCAAAUAAAUAACCUAAGGUAUUAUAAUAUAAUAACCUGUAAGAGCCUGGAGUCAUUGUAACGAGAUGCAGGCUAAAAUGAGUGUUGGUAAUGCCUGUGGCUUUAGGAUUAUCUACAGCUGCAGUCAUUUGAAUCCAUCUCCAUAUUUUGCAUUUUGCUGCAUCAUGCCUGACCCUUACCCUGGGAAAGACGAUACAACGGUCUGUUUGGCUGGUCCACUACGUGUUAAGCUGUGCCAAAGUCUCUCCUACCAUGUGGCAUGUUUAUUUGAUCUGCAGUUCACGCUAGUGGAGUUUAAAGCUCAGGUUUUCCUAAAUUACAUUUAAACAAACCAACUUCUAGAUAUUUUUCUUCAAUAUAUACAUCAAUGUGCAUAAACCAUGAACUAUUACUUAAUCUUCCACCAUGCAGAUUCAAGUCUGAUCUUCCCUGGGAGUCAACAUGUGAGUGUUAUUUCACUGGAUGGUGCCAAAGACGCAAGUCAGCUUCCUCUCGGGCCUCUUUCCAUGACAGUGUCAUAUCAGGCAUGAGGGGUCAAAAUCAAAGUGCUAAAGCUCUUAUAUCAUAUUUCUCAGCCAACUUGCUAACUAAUUUAUAAAAUGCAUUAAACAAGCAUAUAUAUCUUACAUUUGACAGUUUGUUUUGAGAUGGGUGCUGCAUGGAAAUAAGGUGUCAUACAUCCAUUAAUAGAAGUGCUUAAGAUGGGACGUAACUAAUAUGACAAAGAUCAUAUAUUGUCACCAGCUGACCCUAUCAAAUCACACUUUUAGAGAAAAAUGGUGAGGUGCCCUAUGCAAAAAAAUCUUUUGUAUCUCAACUUCUCCUACAUUGAAAUGAGGAGGAAAAUGCACACUGUGGAGGUUUGAGGUCAGCAUGAGAAAUACUACAUUCAAACCAUAAGGUGUGACUUGUGGAAGCAACCAGGGCCAGAAGUCCCGCAGAGGGGCUCCAAAUAAUGUUAUUACUAGAAAUUGUGGCAGGGGGCAUGUAAUGUUACAAAUGGGUUUCAGUUUUUUUAAAAGAAACACAAAAAGUUUACGUUAACUGCAAGAAAAUAUGGUAAACAAAAUAGCAAAGACAGAAUCAACAAGUAUGACACAGAGAGGGGAAGGGGGGAUGUAGGAAUUUAUAUGUGGAGAAACAACAUGAUGUCCCUACUGAGAAAUGCCUCUGGCCUGAACUCAUUCCUCAUGGUGGUGGAGAAAUGCACGCAUACACACUCACUCUUGCUGUCUGUAACAUAGACAUAGACACACACACACACACACACACACACACACACACUUCUCCUGGCCUAAGCUACGUCCUGUAUCAGAUCUGUUCUGCUCUAACAUCCUGCUACAAUAACAACAACCCUCCCAGAGGACGGCCUCAGUCCAGCUGCUACUGUCUGUUUGCUUUUCCAUCCCUCCAUCGAGCGUGGGGCUAAAAAUAGGAGCGACUUCUCCCCGAUUCAAUCGCUUGCCAGUCGGGCAGGCAGCAGAGACAUGGGAGUCAGAGCAGUCAGACGGUCCGUGCAGUGCAGUGCAGUGCGUGGUGCAGAGGACAGAGGCUUCAUGGUAUUCGGCCUGGAGGAGCAUUUGAUCCAGGGCCAAAGGGUUACAUUCAACUGCGGGAUGGAGAGCUUGUUUCCUGUGAUGCAACCCCCAAACUCACACAUACACAUGCACAUAUAUAUACACAUAUGCACACACAUGCACGCACACACACACACGAGCACUUCUUCCUCCUCUCUACUACUCCCUCUUUCCUCACUCUCAGCCUGCUUAUCUUAAAAUUCACCAUGGUGAGGAAAUUUGACUUUUUGGGCUUUUGACUGUCACUGUCAGUAAAACCGCUGGCUCUGAGUGACACGGCAAUCUGGGAAUAAAGACUCUUUAUACUGUAGUUACCAAAUAAGACAGACAGACUGAUCAUGAGGAAUUGUAGACAAAGGAUUGUAUAAAAUGAAGAUAAAAUGAAGCUAUAUAAACUUCAUUGUACACUAAAGUUCCUUAUAAAACACUAAAAAAAGAUUUCCUUUCAUGAGUAUGUAUUCCUUCAAAACACAAACAAACAUUGAUUCUUUUGCUUAAAAAUACCUGGAAACCCACUUCAAGAGUUAUCUACAUCUAAAGCUGAACUGACAAGUCAACUGAAAAAUGAUUUUUUUUUUUUUUUUUUUUUAUCUGUUUCAGUAAAUUUUCAAGCAAAAAUACCAAACAUUCCUUAGUUUCAGCUUCUCAGUUUUGAAGAUUUGCUUCAUUUUUUUGUCACAAGUGAAAGUGAAUCAAUCAUUUUUGGUAUUUGGACUCCCAGCUUGAGAAAACCAGCCAUGUGAAGACAUCUAUAUGAGCUUUAGGGAAUUUGAAUUUGGAUUCCUUCCUCAUUUCUGAUAUUUUAUAGACUCAACACUUAACUGAUUUAUCUAGAAACUGAAAAUCUGGAUCGUCAAUGUGCCUGGAUGAAAUUUUCAACAUUGAGAAACUUGCAGCAGCUUUGCUUGCGAACCAUCACAGCAGAGAAACAGCCAAACAUAAAAAUGAAAGGCAUAAAAAUGAAAAGUAGUUGUUUUAACAAAACUUCCCCAGGCCACCCAACUGCAGUUAACUCCCUCACUCCUUCUCUGCUUCUGUGAUGUCUAUUCUGUCUUUAACCACAGCAGCAUAAACCCCCUGCCCUCGCCCUUCUCCUCCCUAUCCUUCACUCCUUUAUUAAUCCCCUCUCCCCUCCCUCCCCUGGGUUUGGCCAACCCAUUGCAUUUUCUUCUUUAUUUGGUGCUGCCUUUUAUUUCCUGCCUCUAAUCCUCCAAAAAUGUUAUCUCUCUCCCACUCUGCUGACUAUAAACAAACCCUUACCAGCUGCUUUUCAGACCCUUAGAAGUAGCAAGCCCUCUCUCACACUGCCUCUCGCCAGUCACUGUUCAGCUUUUGGUUUUCUAAUUUCACAGCCUUCUGCGUUCUCUGCUCAUUGUUUUUCUUUGUUCUUUAAUCAUUAAUAAAUCUAUUUAGUAAUUUAACUUGGCCUUUUGCUUUUCACUUUCACGUUUUUCUGCUCCUCUGCUUUUAAUUAGGAAGGAAGGGAGGUGAGGAGACGGUGGAGUCAUAGAGAGAAAGGAAAGAGAAAACAACAGCUAAAUGGGAGUUGUUGUCAUAAAGCAUCUGGCUUUGAUUAAAGACAGGACAGCAGACAUUUCUGAGGAUGUCUGUGUAGAUAUGGUUUUGUGUACUAUGGCAUUUGUUUACGAGUUUGUUGGUGUGUUUGAUUGUGUCUACGUGCCUCCAUUCACAAGAAGACUAGCAGUGGUUUUUUUUUUUUUAGUUAUGUGGUUUACUAUAUAGUAAGCUGACCAAGAAGCAUUCAAGAGCUUAGCUGUGUAUUACGAUUUUAGGGGGGUAUUUCUCAGGGCCAUUUUUCUGUCAACAGCUCAUAAGCAAUUUACUUUGAUCUUGUAUAUAUUUUAUUAGUGUCUAAAUGAUUUACAAAAUAUCAUUCCAAACAUGACUCGUUCAUAGUCCAGACUAAUUUUGGUUGGAAAAAAAACCCUGGUAAAUAUCCUCGUCAGGUGACAAAACAUAUUAGCAAUGUGCAUCAACAUUACAGUAUGUCUCACUGCAUAGAUAACCAAUCUGAUGCAUGUGAAUGACAAAUAAUAUGAAACCAAAUAAAUCCCCUAAUGUCAGAUAAAACAAAUCAUGAGAUCAUCGUUCUAGAACUGGAGUUAGAUUAUCAGAGCAGAGCAGCACGUCCUCACCACACAGUUGUUGCACACCUGACAGGCUUACUGACAGCUACGAAACUAAAACAAUCAAAAACAAAAAAUCCUGCAAAAGUGUCAAUCACUUGUUCUCACUUAAUGAACAAAGUUUUGAGCCUUGAACCUUCGUCAGUAGAAAUUCAUUAUAAAAAUAUUUUUCAUUCAAAUUAAUUUCAGUUUUACCUGAUGAAAACCUUGUUAAUAAAAAGAAUGCAAGUGCCUGACAGUGGGAUUCUUUUGCUUCUUUCAUUGUAUUGUACAAUAAAAUCAAGCUUCUAAAUCAAGCCUUGAAACUUAUCGAUACCAGAGGAAAGACUGCUGUCGCAUAUACUGUUACUAUGCUCUAACACUUAACACAUGUUGCGGUGCAAGGUCUCAACAGAGCCGUUUAUUUUUCUUUCAUUACCAUUGUAUGAGGAAUAGCUCAGGGAACUGUCUGGCCCACUGUCCAUAAUUUAAGUUUCAGUGUGAAUUCCCUCUAAACUCGUUUAGACUUCAUCGGUUGCCACUCAGUCACUCAGACACAAAGGUGACGUCAUGAAUCUGGCUCCAAAUCAUCAAGCACAUACGAUGUGACAGGACAGGAUGGAAAAAAAGCAGAGACCCUUUCCUCCUCUCUUUUCCCCUCUGAAACCACAUAUGCGUGCGCACACGCACACACACAAACACUUAGUUUGGUAACACAACUCCCUGAAGUGAGUUACACCAUUAAUGGCAUAAAAAAUCCCUGAAGAGAAUGCCUUUGUAACUAUAAGUUGGCUAACGUGCUUUGAGAGGGAAUGGGUCGAGUUGAAAACUUGAAAAAUAGGAAAAUGAUGUUUACUUAAGUUUAGGAACAGUUAUGUAACUCACAUGACUAUGAAACAGAUGACAUAAAUAGCACACAUUCCUUAAAAUCAGCACUUGGACAAGGAGCCGGUAACUGAUUCUUUAACUAAUUUAUUGCUGAAUUCCAAAUCUAAACAUGUGAGUCAAAAUAGGCCUUUGCCAUUCUGAGCUGCACAGUCAGUAAUGAAGCUGGACAAAGUAACACUUUAAAUUCACUCCAGACAGACAUCAUGGUCAGGAAAAAAGGAGGACACGUGGUGGUGACAGUAGAGCGUACUGUAUAAUUAGUGAAGCUGAAAGUGUAUCAGUUCAUUGGUUACUGUACAGUGUAUGUAGAGCAACAGAUGUUAUAUUGAUUCUUGGUAGUUUUAAAAUCAUUGCAAGGAAUGUGUCACAGACCCAUCAGCUGCCUCCUGACUAAGUAGAUUAGACCAAUACGAUUAAUGGUCAGUAAGUCAACCUGCAGCUCUGCUGAGAUACCAUUAGGUGGCACCAAAUCUUACUAAAGAGACUACUGAGUGAUCUAACUCACUAAUGUGAUUCAAGUUUAGUUGACAAUAUUGCACUUCAUGGUCACACCAAGAUAAUGUGGUAUACACAUUAUUAGGUAUUAGGCAAUAGGUAGAUUACUUCUGAUGACUGCAAAGACCAGCCUCUGUCUUUCAAAAGUCUGCAAUGAAUGCAUUCAGUCACUGUGAUGCCCUGUCUCUUAGGUGUGUAGGGUGAGUUCUGCUUCCUAGAAUCCUUUUCUUUAACAUCUGUUGUCAUCAGAUAGAAAACAGAAACCAAACUGUGUACAUUUUGAACUGUUUGGUUACUCAAAUGAGUCACUUAGAGACAUCUGCACCCAGACAGGCAGACCUAGAUAUAAUUAUGAUUUAACAGAGACAUGAAAACCCAUUUUUCUUGUGUAAAUGUCAUAUUCCAAAUAUGAUUCGAACCAGAUUCAAACUGGAUUAUUAAUAUGUGUGUAAAUGUACUCACUGCUCAUGUCCCUAGCUGAGUUUUUGAUGUGGACCUCAGUUCAUAGGAAUCUAGACAGAGCUACAUUACUUUUGCCCUGUUGAUUGUUAAAUAUGUUCAUAUUCAGUUUUCAGUGGUUUGUUUCUCGUGGACAUUGAAAUGUGGGUAAACAAAACCCUUAUACUGCACUGUGCUUGAAUCCUCACAUACACACUGAAGCAGCUACUGUAGGCUGGUGUAGCUGCUCCUAUCUGGCCCUCAUCUCCCUCUCUCUUUCUUUCCAUCUCCCUCUCGUGCACACACACACACACAUAUACACACCCGCACACACACACGCUAGCAUGACUCACUAGCUGCAGAACUGGAGUAUGCAUGCUAAUACUGUAAAGCUCAAGUUAAAUGUCUGACUGUGUAGAUUGUAUUAUCAUGAAUUGACAUCAAAUUAGUGGCGUGCUGGCUAAUGAGAUUAUGAAGAACAAAGCUCUGUGUGAGGUCUGCAUUAUGUCUGAAUAAUACACACACAGACACACAUUAAGCUUGAUUCUGUAAUAUGAUGCUCACUGUACACAGACACAGGCAUGCAGAGGCAUGCACUCACAUCGGCUGGAUUCAGUGACGUACAGUGUUGGGAAUUAAGAUAGCUCAGUGGAUACGGGUGGACACGUUGCCAGUGCAUUUCUAAAAUAAGUCGCAACCUUUUGGUGGCAAUACAUUAAUCUGUGGUUUGGUGUUUGAUGCCAGAAACUGGCAGAGCAGAGAGAAGGAGUAGUAGAACAAACAUGAUUAAUCCCUAUUACAACUCUGCAAGCAAAACAUCUAUACACACACACGCACAGACGAUGCCUGUGACGGAGGUCUGCAUGCACAGACAGACAGAGAUGCGUCAUUCGUGAUCUCACAGAUAGUAACCCUCUGCCAAAGUUGGGCUUUUAUGCUCUCCUUAAAUCCCUUCACCAUCCACAGCACCUCAUCAUUCACAGAAAAAGAAGAGGAGAGGCGUUAUGUGGUGGUGGGCGUCAACGUGGAGAAGAACUGACUGUGGGAAUGAAAGGAGCUCUGGAUACAGACAGGCUCCUUCCAGGCCAACACAGAGCAUGUGUGUUGUCUUUUGUCAACAAAGGUUGUUUUGGUAACUUGGCUUAAUAUGCCUAAUGCCAGACAAGCAAAACAACCCCCACCAACAAUUGCCAACGUCGCCUCCACCCUGGAAAUACACCCAUCCUAAGCUAUCCCUCCUCUGAUCCCCUAAAGCUGGUUAAAGAGGGGAAAGGAGGGUGUUAGUGAGAAAUGUCGGUCAAAUGUCAUGACUGACCUCAUGUGCUGGCUCAGACCAAAAAUCUGGGCCAGCAUAUGCUACAAUAAGAUAAAUGGAGAAUAUAUAUAAUUCCCACUGUUUGGAAAAGAUAUAGCAGAUGCUCAUCAGUACUCCUGGACUAAACCAAUGCAGCAUUUUCAGAGAGGGGUAAUGGUUGAACUACAGUAGCAAGACAAGCUCACUAAUCCCCUCAUGCUCCAUAGGGGAAAAGCACAGCUGACAGAGAUUACAUUUAAGAAUAAAAUGAUCUCAUAAAACAAUUUGUAUAUAUAUUUAAAGGCAGUUUGUCUCCAGAACAAGACUGACUGUUCCCUCUCUCUUUCUUAUUGCCUUGGUCCAGCUACCCUUUCAUCUCUUUCUCUCUGAAUGUACAUGAACAUGCAGUGUGUUAGGGUUGUGUGUGUCAAGACUAGAAAACCGCUGUAUUCAGCAUAAAGCUGCAGCUGUAGAAAGAGACUGAUCUGAUUCAGCCGCCAGCAACCAGGACAGCUGCAGCGUCCACCGGCUUAACUCUGCUGAACUAGCACACAGACCCUAAACACACAGAGUCCACAUUCAUGACAUUAAAACUGUUGCACAGAUCAACACAUUCAUCCAGCCGUCGUAUUUUCUAUACCCACUUACCCCGAGCAGGGUCACAGAGGACUGGAGUCUUAUGGCAGUACACACUGGGUUAGAGCAGAACUGGUUGGUUUUUUUUUUGUUGUUGUUGUUAUUUUUUCUAUUAGUACUACAUACAGAGUUUUGAAUGGGACAUGUUACAGUGUAAAAUCAACCUGUGAGUGCUCUAUAGUGGACAAACUAUAAUGGUAUUUCUGAAUGAUCUCAAACCUAGUUUGACAUUUCUGCAAGUACAGAAACUUUGCAACCAAAGUUAGUUGCACUGUCUUGAUACUUUUAGCCAAUAGAUAGCCAACAGAUAUAUCUGCAAUGUUAAUAUUGGGCAAAAUAUUGCCCUGGCCAAUUUUCCAUGACUCUGCACGUACUUCCACAUAUUGAUAAUAUCAACAAAGUUAAGCAAAAAGGUAAAAGACAGGCUUCACUGGUAUUCGGCGUGUACUGAAGUAUACAGUUUAAAUCCAGCCAGGAACCUUUUUGGUCUGUCAUCCUUUCACUUUGCCACAUUUCCUGUCUGCAUCCCUACAGUAUGCUACCAAAUAAUGAAAAGGAAAAAACGGCAUAGAGGCAAUGACAUUGCUGGCGUCAUCCAAGUCAAAAGAAAGGCUAGGCCUGUCAGUACAUCACAGCAUUUACAAAAGGAUGUGGGGGUUUGCGGAAGAGGUGGGAGGGUAUAAAAUGUCAUACUUCGCCUGUCACCGUGCUCAUUCGGCAGCACUUCAUCGAUGACCUCAUGGUUCUGAAUUCAACAACCCAGUAACACACAGGGGCUGGCCUUGUGUGUGUGUGAGAAGUGUUGUGUAUGGUGUGCAUGGGUUUUUUGGUGGUUGAGGAGGGUGCUGGUGACAUAUGAGUGUAGAGGAUCUGGUUCUGUGUGACUGAUGAAUGAGCACUCAGAUCAAUGAAAUUUUUUUCAUGACAGAUAUUUGACUUGCAGUACUCCGACUGAAGCAGUAAAAGCACAGAUGUGACAACGGCUCUGUUCUGUCUAAGUGUCCUUGUAAGCCAUGACAGUGUGAGAGUGAGCAAAUGCACAACACCAGGAUCCUGAAACUGAAGCAGCUAAAUGUAAUUCAGCCAUAUUACUUUUAAUAUUUACCCCUGCAGCAUUCCUACUGUGACAAGUCAAAAUGUCUGUUGUGAAAAAGAUG